GUUAAAUCCCCAGCACCACGCCUUGUGCACACACACACAAAGAUUGUCUGGGACAAGGCCAGCUGGAAUUAGUGACAAAUCUGAAGCAGAGAACAUUGACAAAGGCUGCUUCAUUGCCGGUGAUGACUCACGAUAAUUCAAAGGCGAUAAUUUAAAAGCGGCUCCCUGGGUCAAGGAGAGCUUUAGUUAGUGAAUAGAUGGCGUUACCUUUUUAAUGUGACCCUAGAGAGGGUCGUGUCGCAAAGAGCCCACGACACGGCUGGUCCUUAGAGAAGAAACUGAAAAUGCAAGUGCAGCAGUCUCCAUGACCAAGGUUGUCCAAGCGGCAGAUCACCGUGCUAAUAAAUGUCUGGAAGCUAAUGGCCACCACUCUGAGCACCUCCUGUAAUUGUAGAGGCCAAAGCCAUUCUCAGCAUCCUAGGAUUGUCCUGCCCAUGGGCCAGGCCUGCUGCCAUUCUUGGGAAAGUGCUCCCCCUGCUGGCAGAGUUGGAGAUGACUCCCAGUCAGGACACCAUCCCAGCCCUUUCUUCGUGCUGCCUUCCCUGGGAGGGAGCUCUCUCACCGCAAAAGAGGCAAUUCAAACCUCAGUCCCAGUGCCCUUCUCCCCUCUCCAGAGCCUUUAUAUAUCUCACAAGAAUGCUGUUUGGGCAUGGUGGCACACACCUGCAAUCUCAGCACUCUGAAAGGCUGAGGCAGGAGGAUCAUAAUU